rnacentral:misc_RNA from 1 species
CUCCGCUUAUUGAUAUGCUUAAGUUCAGCGGGUAGUCUUGCGUGGAUGAGGGACAAGAGGCCCUCGAGCGUAGCGGGAGGGGCCGUGUCUUUAGAACCAAAAUCAAGGAGAAGAGUUCCGCUCACCCACGCAUGCUGUUGCCAGCGCCAUGUGCGUUCAAAGAUUGAUGAUUCACGUCUGCAAGUUGUAAUACGUAUCGCAUUUCGCUGCGUUCUUCAUCGAUGCGAGAGCCAAGAGAUCCGUUGUUGAAAGUUUUAUUCCGAGCGUAGCGAGGAAUAUCACGCCAAGAUGGCAGUUUUUUAUCGUUUGUGCUAAAACACGGUGUCUUUGUGCUGUAAUGAUCCUUCCGCAGUCCACCUAC